rnacentral:rRNA from 1 species
UGGGGAAUUUUGGACAAUGGGCGAAAGCCUGAUCCAGCAAUGCCGCGUGUGUGAAGAAGGCCUUCGGGUUGUAAAGCACUUUUGUCCGGAAAGAAAUGGCUCUGGUUAAUACCUGGGGUCGAUGACGGUACCGGAAGAAUAAGGACCGGCUAACUACGUGCCAGCAGCCGCGGUAAUACGUAGGGUCCAAGCGUUAAUCGGAAUUACUGGGCGUAAAGCGUGCGCAGGCGGUUGUGCAAGACCGAUGUGAAAUCCCCGAGCUUAACUUGGGAAUUGCAUUGGUGACUGCACGGCUAGAGUGUGUCAGAGGGGGGUAGAAUUCCACGUGUAGCAGUGAAAUGCGUAGAGAUGUGGAGGAAUACCGAUGGCGAAGGCAGCCCCCUGGGAUAACACUGACGCUCAUGCACGAAAGCGUGGGGAGCAAACAGGAUUAGAUACCCUGGUAGUCCACGCCCUAAACGAUGUCAACUAGUUGUUGGGGAUUCAUUUCCUUAGUAACGUAGCUAACGCGUGAAGUUGACCGCCUGGGGAGUACGGUCGCAAGAUUAAAAGCUCAAAGGAAUUGACGGGGUCAUAGCUGUUUCC